UACGGGGGGGGCAAGCGUUGUUCGGAAUUACUGGGCGUAAAGGGCUCGUAGGCGGCCAACUAAGUCGGAUGUGAAAUCCCCAGGCUUAACCUGGGAACUGCAUCCGAUACUGGAUGGCUUGAAUCCGGGAGAGGGAUGCAGAAUUCCAGGUGUAGCGGUGAAAUGCGUAGAUAUCUGGAGGAAUACCGGUGGCGAAGGCGGCAUCCUGGACCGGCAUUGACGCUGAGGGACGAAAGCGUGGGGAGCAAACAGG
rnacentral:rRNA from 1 species